UACGGGGGGGGCAAGCGUUGUUCGGAAUUACUGGGCGUAAAGGGUUCGUAGGUGGCCUGUUAAGUCAGACGUGAAAUCCCUCAGCUCAACUGGGGAACUGCGUCUGAGACUGGUGGGCUUGAGUGCAGGAGAGGAACGCGGAAUUCCAGGUGUAGCGGCGAAAUGCGUAGAUAUCUGGAGGAACACCGGUGGCGAAGGCGGCGUUCUGGACUGCAACUGACACUGAUGAACGAAAGCCAGGGGAGCAAACGGG
rnacentral:rRNA from 1 species